CACGUAGGGUGCAGGCGUUAAUCGGAAUUACUGGGCGUAAAGCGUGCGCAGGCGGUUUGUUAAGACAGGUGUGAAAUCCCCGGGCUUAACCUGGGAACUGCGCUUGUUACUGGCAGACUUGAGUGUGGCAGAGGGGGGGUGGAAUUCCAGGUGUAGCAGUGAAAUGCGUAGAGAUCUGGAGGAACACCGAUGGCGAAGGCAGCCCCCUGGGUUAACACUGACGCUCGAUGCACGAAAGCGUGGGGAGCAAACAGG
rnacentral:rRNA from 1 species